rnacentral:rRNA from 1 species
CGGGACGGGUGAGUAACGCGUGGAUAACCUGCCUCACACUGGGGGAUAACAGUUAGAAAUGACUGCUAAUACCGCAUAAGCGCACAGUACCGCAUGGUACAGUGUGAAAAACUCCGGUGGUGUGAGAUGGAUCCGCGUCUGAUUAGCCAGUUGGCGGGGUAACGGCCCACCAAAGCGACGAUGGAUAGGGGUUCUGAGAGGAAGGUCCCCCACAUUGGAACUGAGACACGGUCCAA